AAGCGCAAUAGCCGCGUUUGUAACGGGCGCCAGAAAUGAAACUCAGCCUUCCCUGCCCCAAUCCGGGCCACGUUACCGGCUGCUUUCAAAUCUGACGACAGCUACUUCUCCAUUUGUUAAAUGAAACAGGAAGCUUCCCUCUUGGGGCUGCGCGCAGCAGCUCUUUUCGCUUGUCACAUUUUCUGAGAACGUAUUAAGUCGAGUAAAGAAGACUGUAUUUCCCCGCCGUUUAUUUUGGGAAGCGUUUCUCUUUUGCAGCGAUGCGCCAGAACCGAGAACUUUGAUUCACGUGCAGAUUUCACGCGAGAACGAAUGGGCUUUGAGAAAGUGGAAGUUGCCGCUUUACAGAACCGUACGCAUGAAAGAUGUUUUCUAAAUCGCAUGGGAUGAAGCAACCAGGUUUCAAGAAAGUAGAUGGAUUACAUGGAAAAAUCUUCUAAUUUUAAGGCCAUGGGAUAUUUCUGCCAUAGAAGAUUCCAGGGAAACUAGCUUUUGAAAGAAGUUGGAAUUACUACUAGAUGCAUGGAAAGAUCUAUAUCAUCAAACCUAAAUUUCUGGGACACUGUAAUGUCACUCAGUCCUGCUCUUUAUUCUAGUUUUAUUUUUUGAUGUAACAAUUUAUAUCCUAUCUUUCUAUUACCUGUACUUACGAUUUCGCAGCAUGAUGAUAAACUAUAAAGCCAAUACAAGAGGAUGUGAUGUUUAAAAGUUACUAAGAAUUACACCAUAAAGACAUAAGAAGCCAGAUGUUAUUCUUUGGACUUCAACUCUCUACUGGAAACUGAACCCAUGAAUCCCAAGUAGAAUAAAACGAGUGGCAUGAUAUCUAUCUCCCAGUGGUCAAUGGAAGAAGAUACUUUGGACAGCUUUUACAGGAAAAGAAAAUACUUAGGAUUGAAGAGAGGUUCAGAUCUCACCCAGUCUCAUCUGCACUGCUUUAGAAGUGCCUGGUGGGCGACUCUCGACCCUUUCAAGGGUCCCCCAGUGGAGCGAAACUGAACACAGAAAACGGAGCUUGCCUUCCAGCGGCCGCGGCGGCUGCAAUGGCAAAGUGGAAGUCCAGAUUCUUUACUUUUCCAUGAAGUCUAUGAAGCAGUUCUCAAGUCGAAACUAUAUAUUGUAAUUAGAAAGGUGUUUGCAAAAAAUGCGUGUGAUGAAAUACUGCAUUGAAAAUUAAACUUGCAACAUGUUUAUACGAUUACA